ensembl:lncRNA
GAGGCCACACCUUGAGUACUGUGUCCAGUUUUGGGCCCCUCACUGUAAGACAUCAAGGCCCUGGAGCAUGUCCAGAGAAGGGCAACAAAGCUGGUGAGGGGUCUGGAGCACAGGCCUUAUGAGGAACGGCUGAAGGAGCUGGGAUUGUUCAGUCUAGAGAAGAGGAGGCUCAGGGGAGACCUUAUUGCUCUCUAUAAUUACCUGAAGGGAGGUUGUAGUGAGCUGGGGGUCGGCCUCUUCUCUCGUGUGACUAGUGAUAGGACUAGAGGGAAUGGCUUCAAGCUGUGCCAGGGAAGAUUCAGGCUGGAUGUUAGGAAAUACUACUUCUCUGAAAGGGUGGUCAGGCACUGGAAUGGGCUGCCCAGAGAGGUGGUGGAGUCACCGAGCCUGGUGGUGUUCAAAGAGCGUUUGGAUGUUGUGUUGAGGGACAUGGUUUAGCGAGAACCAUUGGUGAAGGGCGAAUGGUUGGACUGGAUGAUCCUGUGGGUCUUUUCCAACCUUAGCGAUUCUAUGAUUCUAUGAUUCUUCGCACUUCCAAUCAUCCAGUCUGCUUAGUCACAUCUGUCCAGAAUAACAGAGGUUCAGAAUGGCUUGAUGUGCUCCCACAUGACUCUUCAAGUUCUUGCAGAUGCCUGAAGUGCUUCCUGCAGACCACAGUGAAGGGUGACCUCUGAAAGUAAAAGUUGCUGAGAGGUGUCAGUGUCUUGGAUUGAAAGUCCACAUCCAGUGUACUUCCACAUCAGUUGUGAUACACAGAGAGAGCUGGUUUUCUGGAUAAGGGGUAGGUGGUUCAAAGCACUUCAGGCUGAAAGUAAUGAUGAAAAAAUGAUUUGAGAACCAAAGAAACAGUCACUCUUCUAUCAAAGUAUCUCAGAGUACUUCAGCAAUAAGAGGAGAGCAGUGGAAGGGGUAGCUGAGGAACAGAAGAGAAUGGUAAUAAAAACUUUGUUUUACACUUUACAGCUCCCAUGUGCCCUCCCACAAGGAUGAAUCAUGCUCUUAGUGUAAAGGCCAAUAAGGUAAUAAGCCUCAGAGGUGACAGCAAAGGGAGCUUUUUCUGCAACUAAUUAUUUUUAUUGUUUCACAGCUAAUUUUGCAUUUAUCACAGCAGUUGUCUUUCAUCAUUUUUUUCCUUUUUAUAUAUUUCUUCUUAAAUUUCCUUUCUUUUAUUCAUGUUUUCUGAUUCCUCAUUUCCUC